AAAAUAAUUGCAUGGAAUGCAUCAGAGAUUUUGCUAAGAUUAUAUUUUGUGAUCAUUACUCACAAGCAUUGUGUGAUUAAUGCAAAGCUUUGUGAAUAUGAAAUACACAAAUAAUCAAUGGCUUCCCGUUUCCUUUGUAAAUAACAGUAAUAAUUACCAUUUGUUAAGGGUCAACCAAGCCUUGGACAGUUGUCAAUUCUGCAAGGUAAGUGCCAUUAACUUCAUUUUAGGAGGAUGAGAAAUAGAUGGCUGAAGUUAAAUGAUUUCCCUAAGACUCCAAGAGAUCCAAUGACAAUUUAAAGUCAGGUCAUUCUGGCUCCAAAACCCAUGACUUAUAUUAAGUGAUUUAAAUAUAAAAUAGCAAUAAGCCCCUUAUGCUUUUAGGUUUGACUUCAGCCCAUGUUACUAAUGAAUGAAUUUAUAUAAAGAAAAUACUUCAGAAACCUAUUCAUUCAGUAAAUGAAAAUUAACCCUUUCUUAAUAAUCAGAUUUUUUAUCCAGAAGGAUCAAAUAUAUUAUUUAAAUUGAAUAAAAAUAUGGACUUUUCUAGUAGUAAAAGAUUAUUUUCUUAUGAUUUGUUUAUCUGGAUUUAAUCUUAGAAAGCAUAAUCAGUCUACUAGUGACACCUACUAAGACUAUGGAUAUUUAUCAGAUUUGAGAUAAACUUCCUGUUUUCAUGUGUUUUAAUCAACAAUCGAAGAUAGUCUUAUGCAACUUAUUGUUUUUCCAUCUCCUUACAUUUUGCUUAAGUUACUGAAGACCAGAGAAACACGCCAGAGAGCUGUGUAAACAUGUUGACUCUCCCUUUAUAAAGGGAGAAAUUGCUCAGAACAGGAGGGUUGAAAGCUAAAGGAGAUUGCCAGUUCCUUGAAAUGUGUGACAUUAUUGCUUUACAAAACCACCCCCUGGAUCCUUAAGAGAAUCUGUGUGCUAAAAAACAUUAGGAUAUAAUUUUGCCACACGUACUAGCUGUAGCCUCCUCACUAAAGUCCGAAGUCAUUUAUGAAAUAAAAGUAGAUCAUGAUUUGGGCUUAGAGAAAAAUGCUAAUGAGUCACAUUUGCCAAUGCCAGUUAGCUUUUCCGAACUACAGGCUUCACUGGUGAGCUCAGUUGUGUGUUUUG
rnacentral:lncRNA from 1 species